AUGGAGUCACAGACCCAGGUUCUCAUGUCCCUGCUGCUCUGGGUGUCUGGUGCCUGUGCUGAUAUAGUGAUGACCCAGUCUCCAUCCUCCCUGGCAGUGUCAGCAGGAGAGAAGGUCACCAUCAGCUGCAAGUCCAGUCAGAGUCUUACUUCAGGCUCCUAUCACUACUUGGCCUGGUACCAGCAGAAACCAGGGCAAUCUCCUAAACUGCUGAUCUACUAUGCAUCCACUCAGAACACUGGGGUCCCUGAUCGCUUCACAGGCAGUGGGUCUGGGACAGAUUUCACUCUCACCAUCAGCAGUGUCCAGGCUGAAGACCUGGCAGAUUAUUACUGUCAGCAGCAUUAUAGUACUCCUCCCACAGUGCUUCAGCCUCCAACAAAAACCUCCUCUGAGAAUCUCACCAGCUGCCUGCACCACACACAGCCCUGGACCUGCACACUUCCACUUUCCCCCUUCUGCCUGAGAGCUGCUGUGCCUUAA